GAUGAACGCUGGCGGUAUGCUUAACACAUGCAAGUCGAACGGACUCUUCGGAGUUAGUGGCGGACGGGUGAGUAACGCGUGGGAAUCUGGCUUUGGGUUCGGGACAACCACUGGAAACGGUGGCUAAUACCGGAUGUGCCGAGAGGUAAAAGAGAAAUUGCCUGAAGAUGAGCUCGCGUCUGAUUAGCUAGUUGGUGAGGUAAAGGCUCACCAAGGAAGCGAUCAGUAGCUGGUCUGAGAGGAUGACCAGCCACACUGGGACUGAGACACGGCCCAGACUCCUACGGGAGGCAGCAGUGGGGAAUUUUCCGCAAUGGGCGAAAGCCUGACGGAGCAGUACCGCGUGAGGGAAGAAGGCUCUUGGGUUGUAAACCUCUUUUCUUAGGGAAGAACAAAAUGACGGUACCUAAGGAAUCAGCAUCGGCUAACUCCGUG
rnacentral:rRNA from 1 species